AACGAACGCUGGCGGCAUGCCUAACACAUGCAAGUCGAACGAGACCUUCGGGUCUAGUGGCGCACGGGUGCGUAACGCGUGGGAACCUGCCCUUAGGUUCGGAAUAACUCCCCGAAAGGGGUGCUAAUACCGGAUAAUGUCUUCGGACCAAAGAUUUAUCGCCUUUGGAUGGGCCCGCGUUGGAUUAGCUAGUUGGUAGGGUAAAAGCCUACCAAGGCGACGAUCCAUAGCUGGUCUGAGAGGAUGAUCAGCCACACUGGGACUGAGACACGGCCCAGACUCCUACGGGAGGCAGCAGUGGGGAAUAUUGGACAAUGGGCGAAAGCCUGAGCCAGCAAUGCCGCGUGAGUGAUGAAGGCCUUAGGGUUGUAAAGCUCUUUUACCCGGGAUGAUAAUGGCAGUACCGGGAGAAUAAGCUCCGGCUAACUCCGUG
rnacentral:rRNA from 1 species